GAAGAGCCUGUGGGGGCCGCUCAGCAAGAAGGAAAUUCAGUGGCGCAUCUGCCCACAUUCUGGAAGGACCCCUGGUCCCCUUCUGUCAGCCCUCCCACCUGCCUCCCUCCUCGUGCCGCUCCUCUGAUCCCUCACUCCACUCCGGCUCCUGCGGCGCUGACGGAGCGGGGUGGGGGGAGUUGCUGCGUCUGGGGGUGUAAGAACCUUAGAUGUCACGGAGCUUGGAAUUGUGCCAACGGGCAGGCUGAAGGGGCCUUAAAGUGCUGCCAAGCCCUCCUCAUGCCACACCAGCUUCCCUGCAGAGCCAGGAUGGGGACCCCGAUGUCUGCCCUGUGGGCUGGAGCAGGCGGCGACUCUGUCCUGGCUGUGAGAUCUCCUCCACCGCCCCUGACUCCUACCCUGUCAGGCCCACCCCCAGUCUCUUAUCACCGCUGGAGGGGAAUCUGAGCAAUCCCCUACGGGGUGACAACCUGCAACUACAUGGCAUCGUGCACGUGGAUCCACUGCAGCAUGGAGCGGGGUCUGCAUCAGGAAAGACACUCCUCCUCUUCCCCCGGCCGCAGGCUGGAGUGCAGUGGCGUGAUCUCGGCUCGCUACAACCUCCA
rnacentral:lncRNA from 1 species